GAUGAACGCUGGCGGCGUGCCUAAUACAUGCAAGUCGAGCGAACAGACGAGGAGCUUGCUCCUCUGACGUUAGCUGCGUACGGGUGAGUAACACGUGGAUAACCUACCUAUAAGACUGGGAUAACUUCGGUAAACCGGAGCUAAUACCGGAUAAUAUAUUGAACCGCAUGGUUCAAUAGUGAAAGACGGUUUUGCUGUCACUUCUAGAUGGAUCCGCGCCGCAUUAGCUAGUUGGUAAGGUAACGGCUUACCAAGGCAACGAUGCGUAGCCGACCUGAGAGGGUGAGCGGCCACACUGGAACUGAGACACGGGCCAGACUCCUACGGGAGGCAGCAGUAGGGAAUCUUCCGCAAUGGGCGAAAGCCUGACGGAGCAACGACGCGUGAGUGAUGAAGGGCUUCGGAUCGUAAAACUCUGUUAUUAGGGAAGAACAAAUGUGUAAGUAACUAUGAACGUCUUGAAGGUACCUAAUCAGAAAGCCACGGCUAACUACGU
rnacentral:rRNA from 1 species